UACAGAGGUCUCGAGCGUUAGGCGGAAUCACUGGGCUUAAAGCGUGUGUAGGCGGAUCGGUAAGUACCUUGUGAAAUCCCACAGCUUAACUGUGGAACUGCUUGGUAUACUGCCAGUCUUGAGCCACUUAGGGGCUACCGGAACAAAUGGUGGAGCGGUGAAAUGCGCAGAUAUCAGGAAGAACACCAAUGGCGAAAGCAGCUUUCUGGGACGGUACUGACGCUGAGACGCGAAAGCGUGGGGAGCGAACAGG
rnacentral:rRNA from 1 species